GAGACUUUGAGAGACACAAGUGUUGCAGUAUAACUUGUGUGAACCUAUUUUUAUUCUAAGUGAAUUGAGUGAGGUUGUCUCUCUUGAUAGUUUAUACUCUCUUUUAUAUAGUGGAUUGCUCAUCUCUUUUUGUGGAUGUAGGUCAAUUGACCGAACCACAUUAAAUUAUUGUAUCUCUUUUAGUAUAUUUCUUGUUUAUCUUUGUAUGUGGUAUUUUUUGAGGUUU
rnacentral:lncRNA from 1 species